rnacentral:rRNA from 1 species
UGGGGAAUAUUGCACAAUGGGCGCAAGCCUGAUGCAGCCAUGCCGCGUGUGUGAAGAAGGCCUUCGGGUUGUAAAGCACUUUCAGUCGUGAGGAAGGCGGGUACGUUAAUAGCGUAUUCGUUUGACGUUAGCGACAGAAGAAGCACCGGCUAACUCCGUGCCAGCAGCCGCGGUAAUACGGAGGGUGCGAGCGUUAAUCGGAAUUACUGGGCGUAAAGCGCAUGCAGGUGGUUUGUUAAGUCAGAUGUGAAAGCCCGGGGCUCAACCUCGGAAUAGCAUUUGAAACUGGCAGACUAGAGUACUGUAGAGGGGGGUAGAAUUUCAGGUGUAGCGGUGAAAUGCGUAGAGAUCUGAAGGAAUACCGGUGGCGAAGGCGGCCCCCUGGACAGAUACUGACACUCAGAUGCGAAAGCGUGGGGAGCAAACAGGAUUAGAUACCCCCGUAGUCC